GACAGAGGGUGCAAACGUUGCUCGGAAUUACUGGGCGUAAAGCGCGUGUAGGCGGCUUUGCAAGUCGGGUGUGAAAUCCCCGAGCUUAACUUGGGAAUUGCGCUCGAAACUACGUGGCUGGAGUGUGGCAGAGGAAGGUGGAAUUCCACGUGUAGCGGUGAAAUGCGUAGAGAUGUGGAGGAACACCGAUGGCGAAGGCAGCCUUCUGGGCCAACACUGACGCUCAUGCACGAAAGCGUGGGGAGCAAACAGG
rnacentral:rRNA from 1 species